AGCGAACGUUAGCGGCGGGCUUAACACAUGCAAGUCGAGCGAGAAAGGGGCUUCGGCCCUGAGUACAGCGGCGGACGGGUGAAUAACACGUAGGUAACCUUCCUUCCAGCGGGGGACAACGGUCCGAAAGGACCGCUAAUACCGCAUACGUUCCCUGGGACCCUGGUCCCGGGGAGGAAAGCUCCGCAAGGGGCACUGGAUGAGGGGCCUGCGUAGCAUCAGCUAGUUGGUGGGGUAAUGGCCUACCAAGGCUAAGACGCUUAGCUGGUCUGAGAGGAUGAUCAGCCACACUGGGACUGAGACACGGCCCAGACUCCUACGGGAGGCAGCAGUGGGGAAUAUUGGACAAUGGGCGCAAGCCUGAUCCAGCCACGCCGCGUGAGUGAUGAAGGCCUUCGGGUCGUAAAGCUCUGUGGGGAGGGACGAAUGGCGCCGUGAAGAGCGGCGAGUGACGGUACCUCCCUUAGCAAGCACCGGCGUAACCUUCGUGCCAGCAGCCGCGGUAAUGUAGUC
rnacentral:rRNA from 1 species